rnacentral:lncRNA from 1 species
CUGAUACCAUGUCAGAAGUGGUUCUAGGUAUGUAUUGUUGGAGAGUGAUACCAUGUCAGAAGUGGUUCUAGGUAUGUAUGGUUGGAGAGAGCGAUACCAUGUCAGAAGUGGUUCUAGGUAUGUAUUGUUGGAGAGAGCGAUAACAUGUCAGAAGUGGUUCUAGGUAUGUAUUGUUGGAGAGAGUGAUACCAUGUCAGAAGUGGUUCUAGGUAUGUAUUGUUGGAGAGUGAUACCAUGUCAGAAGUGGUUCUAGGUAUGCAUUGUUGGAGAGUGAUACCAUGUCAGAAGUGGUUCUAGGUAUGUAUUGUUGGAGACUGAUACCAUGUCAGAAGUGGUUCUAGCUAUGUAUUGUUGGAGAGAGUGAUACUAUGUCAGAAGUGGUUCCAGGUAUGUAUUGUUGGAGAGAGUGAUACCACAUCAGAAGUGGUUGCUAUGUAUGUAUUGUUGGAGAGAGUGAUACCAUGUCAGAAGUGGUUCUAGGUAUGUAUUGUUGGAGACUGAUACCAUGUCAGAAGUGGUUCUAGGUAUGUAUUGUUGGAGAGUGAUACCACGUCAGAAGCUGUUCUAGGUAUGUAUUGUUGGAGACUGAUACCAUGUCAGAAGUGGUUCUAGGUAUGUAUUGUUGGAGAGUGAUACCACGUCAGAAGCUGUUCUCGGUAUGUAUUGUUGGAGAGUGAUACCAUGUCAGAAGUGGUUCUAGGUAUGUAUUGUUGGAGAGAGUGAUACCAUGUCAGAAGUGGUUCUAGGUAUGUAUUGUUGGAGAGUGAUACCAUGUCAGAAGUGGUUCUAGGUAUGUAUUGUUGGAGAGAGUGAUACCAUGUCAGAAGUGGUUCUAGGUAUGUAUUGUUGGAGUGAGUGAUACCAUGUCAGAAGUGGUUCUAGGUAUGUAUUGUUGGAGAGUGAUACCAUGUCAGAAGUGGUUCUAGGUAUGUAUUGUUGGAGAGUGAUACCAUGUCAGAAGUGGUUCUAGGUAUGUAUUGUUGGAGAGAGUGAUACCAUGUCAGAAGUUGUUCUAUGUAUGUAUUGUUGGAGAGAGUGAUACCAUGUCAGAAGUUGUUCUAGGUAUGUAUUGUUGGAGAGUGAUACCAUGUCAGAAGUGGUUCUAGGUAUGUAUUGUUGGAGAGAGCGAUACCAUGUCAGAAGUGGUUCUAGGUAUGUAUUGUUGGAGAGAGUGAUACCAUGUCAGAAGUGGUUCUAGGUAUGUAUUGUUGGAGAGAGCGAUACCAUGUCAGAAGUGGUUCUAGGUAUGUAUUGUUAGAGAGUGAUACCACGUCAGAAGUGGUUCCAGGUAUGUAUUGUUAGAGAGUGAUACCAUGCUUGUCUGAAGUGUUUACAGGUCAGAGGUCAUAGGACCACUAAGGGCUGAGGCCUAGAUAAGACACCCAGGAACCCUGAUCCAUCGUAAUGCUACCCUGGACACCCAGAGACCCUGGUCCAUAGUAAUGCCCUAUAUAGGGAGAAGGGUUCCAUUUGGGACGCAGAGCCAAAGUCUCAGUCUGGGCGGAGGUCCUCAAAGAUACAUUAUACAGUCCACAUUGUGUGGUCCUUUGUGCUUUUAUUUCAGUCAGAUACAUUAUACAGUCCACAUUUUUUGUGGUCCUUUGUGCUUUUAUUUGAGACAUUCCUGAGAUGUUUUACAUCUCAUACCUCUUUUGUCUCGCUGGCCGGUCUACAUUAGACAGAUCUACGAUAACAACUAGCUAUGCAGAAAUCUGAAGAAUUUGAAACUUUAUAUUAUCAAACUGAUGUUCUGUGUAUAUCUAUUU